rnacentral:rRNA from 1 species
AUACGGAGGAUGCGAGCGUUGUUCGGAAUUAUUGGGCGUAAAGCGCAUGUAGGUGGGUUGAUAAGUUAAUGGUGAAAUUUCUAGGCUCAACCUGGAAACUGCCCUUAAUACUGUCAAUCUAGAGUUGUACAGAGGUAAUAGGAAUUCCUGGUGGAGGGGUGAAAUCUGUAGAUAUCAGGAAGAACACCAAUGGCGAAGGCAAAUUACUGGGUACAUACUGACACUGAGAUGCGAAAGCUAGGGUAGCGAACGGGAUUAGAAACCCCAGUAGUCC